AGAGAUCUUAAUACCAAGAAGGCCCUUCCUUCAAAUGCCUGCUCCCAGGUUUGUCUUGCUGGUGCAGCUGCGGAAUGUCUGUCCCUCCGACAUUAAAUGCCGAUGCAGAAGGGUGAGUUCCCAGUCAAUAGGCCUUUGGAAAAAGCGUGUGGAUGACUGAAGAGAACGGCGUUGGAGGCCCACAAAGGACAACGUGAAGCCCAAUGCAGCCUUUUAUCUUCCCCACGAAACAGAUGAUCGUGCAAACUCUGCAAGUGGCCCCAGUGAGUCAACCUCCUGGAAACUGACAUGACUUCCUGGAUGGCUCGAAAAAGUAUAAUGGCUUUAAGCUCUGAGUUGAAACCCUUAAAUAAAGCACUAAAUUGAAAGGACA
rnacentral:lncRNA from 1 species